rnacentral:tRNA from 1 species
GGAGAGGUGCCAGAGCCCGGUUGAUUGGGCCGGUCUCGAAAACCGGUAGGCCCGUAAGGGUCUCGAGGGUUCGAAUCCCUCCCUCUCCG